UGCAGUCGACGGUAACAGGAAAAGCUUGCUGUUUCGCUGACGAGUGGCGGACGGGUGAGUAAUGUCUGGGAACCUGCCUGAUGGAGGGGGAUAACUACUGGAAACGGUAGCUAAUACCGCAUAACGUCUCAAGACCAAGGAGGGGGACCUUCGGGCCUCUUGCCAUCGGAUGUGCCCAUAUGGGAUUACCUAGUUGGUGGGGUAACGGCUCACCUAGGCGACGAUCCCUAGCUGGUCUGACAGGAUGACCAGCCACACUGGAACUGAGACACGGUCCAGACUCCUACGGGAGGCAGCAGUGGGGAAUAUUGCACAAUGGGCGCAAGCCUGAUGCAGCCAUGCCGCGUGUAUGAAGAAGGCCUUCGGGUUGUAAAGUACUUUCAGCGGGGAGGAAGGGAGUAAAGUUAAUACCUUUGCUCAUUGACGUUACCCGCAGAAGAAGCACCGGCUAACUCCGUGCCAGCAGCCGCGGUAAUACGGAGGGUGCAAGCGUUAAUCGGAAUUACUGGGCGUAAAGCGCACGCAGGCGGUUUGUUAAGUCAGAUGUGAAAUCCCCGGGCUCAACCUGGGAACUGCAUCUGAUACUGGCAAGCUUGAGUCUCGUAGAGGGGGGUAGAAUUCCAGGUGUAGCGGUGAAAUGCGUAGAGAUCUGGAGGAAUACCGGUGGCGAAGGCGGCCCCCCUGGACGAAGACUGACGCUCUGACGCGAAAUGCGUGGAGAGCAAACAGGAUUAGAUACCCUGGAUAGUCC
rnacentral:rRNA from 1 species